UCCGUAGGUGAACCUGCGGAAGGAUCAUUAAAGAAUCGCCCCGUUUUUUGAAAUGGGUUCUAUUCCCAAACCGUGUAUACAUACCUUUGUUGCUUUGGCAGGCCGCCUUUUAGGCGUCGGCUCCGGCUGACUGCGCCUGCCAGAGGACCCAAACUCGUUUGUUUAGUGAUGUCUGAGUACUAUAUAAUAGUUAAAACUUUCAACAACGGAUCUCUUGGUUCUGGCAUCGAUGAAGAACGCAGCGAAAUGCGAUAAGUAAUGUGAAUUGCAGAAUUCAGUGAAUCAUCGAAUCUUUGAACGCACAUUGCGCCCCUUGGUAUUCCGAGGGGCAUGCCUGUUCGAGCGUCAUUAUAACCACUCAAGCCUCGGCUUGGUCUUGGGGUUCGCGGUCUCGCGUCCCUUAAAAUCAGUGGCGGUGCCGUCUGGCUCUAAGCGUAGUAAUUCUCUCGCUAUAGGGUCCCGGCGGUUGCCUGCCAGAACCCCCCAUUUUUUAGCGGUUGACCUCGGAUCAGGUAGGGAUACCCGCUGAACUUAAGCAUAUC
rnacentral:rRNA from 1 species